rnacentral:rRNA from 1 species
AGAGUUUGAUCCUGGCUCAAAACGAACGCUGGCGGCGUGGAUAAGACAUGCAAGUCGAACGGGAUAACAUCUGUAGCAAUACAGGUGUUAUUUAGUGGCGAACGGGUGCGUAACACGUGGGGAAUCUGCCGAGAAGUGGGGGAUAGCUCGCCGAAAGGCGAAUUAAUACCGCAUAUGGUCAGUGAAGACAUCUUCACAACACCAAAGCCGGGGCAACCUGGCGCUUCUUGAUGACCCCGCGGCCUAUCAGCUAGUUGGUGAGGUAACGGCUCACCAAGGCUAUGACGGGUAGCUGGUCUGAGAGGACGACCAGUCACACUGGAACUGAGACACGGUCCAGACACCUACGGGUGGCAGCAGUCGAGAAUUUUUCACAAUGGGGGCAACCCUGAUGGAGCGACGCCGCGUGGAGGAUGAAGGCUUUCGGGCUGUACACUCCUGUCAUUUGAGAACAAGGUGCAUCGAUUAACUGUCGAUGCAUUGAUAGUAUCAGAAGAGGAAGAGACGGCUAACUCUGUGCCAGCAGCCGCGGUAAUACAGAGGUCUCAAGCGUUGUUCGGAUUCAUUGGGCGUAAAGGGUGCGUAGGUGGCGGGGUAAGUCAGGUGUGAUAUUUCGGAGCUCAACUCCGAAACUGCAUUUGAUACUGCCUUGCUUGAGGACUGGAGAGGAGACUGUAAUUCACGGUGUAGCAGUGAAAUGCGUAGAUA